rnacentral:rRNA from 1 species
UACGUAGGGGGCUAGCGUUAUCCGGAAUUACUGGGCGUAAAGGGUGCGUAGGUGGUUUCUUAAGUCAGAGGUGAAAGGCUACGGCUCAACCGUAGUAAGCCUUUGAAACUGAGAAACUUGAGUGCAGGAGAGGAGAGUAGAAUUCCUAGUGUAGCGGUGAAAUGCGUAGAUAUUAGGAGGAAUACCAGUUGCGAAGGCGGCUCUCUGGACUGUAACUGACACUGAGGCACGAAAGCGUGGGGAUCAAACAGGAUUAGAUACCCGUGUAGUCCCUGA